AGAGUUUGAUCCUGGCUCAGAUUGAACGCUGGCGGUAUGCUUAACACAUGCAAGUCGAACGGAAACGAAACUAGCUUGCUAGUAGGCGUCGAGUGGCGGACGGGUGAGUAACGCGUAGGAAUCUGCCUGAUAGUGGGGGAUAGCCCGAAGAAAUUCGGAUUAAUACCGCAUAAUCUAUUCGUAGUAAAGUGGGGGACUUUCGAGCCUCACGCUAUCAGAUGAGCCUGCGUAAGAUUAGCUUGUUGGUAGGGUAAAAGCCUACCAAGGCAACGAUCUUUAGCUGGUCUGAGAGGAUGAUCAGCCACAUCGGGACUGAGACACGGCCCGAACUCCUACGGGAGGCAGCAGUGGGGAAUAUUGGACAAUGGGGGCAACCCUGAUCCAGCAAUACCGCGUGUGUGAAGAAGGCCUGAGGGUUGUAAAGCACUUUCAAUUGUGAAGAAAAGUUAACGGUUAAUAACCGUUAGCCUUGACGUUAACUUUAGAAGAAGCACCGGCUAACUCCGUGCCAGCAGCCGCGGUAAUACGGAGGGUGCAAGCGUUAAUCGGAAUUACUGGGCGUAAAGCGUGCGUAGGCGGUUUAUUAAGUCAGAUGUGAAAGCCCCGGGCUUAACCUGGGAACUGCAUUUGAAACUGGUCAACUAGAGUAUGGUAGAGGAAAGUGGAAUUUCUGGUGUAGCGGUGAAAUGCGUAGAUAUCAGAAGGAACAUCAAUGGCGAAGGCAGCUUUCUGGACCAAUACUGACGCUGAGGUACGAAAGCGUGGGUAGCAAACAGGAUUAGAUACCCUGGUAGUCCACGCCGUAAACGAUGAUAACUAGCCGUUGGGGGGAUUUACCCUUUAGUGGCGAAGCUAACGCGUUAAGUUAUCCGCCUGGGGAGUACGGCCGCAAGGCUAAAACUCAAAGGAAUUGACGGGGACCCGCACAAGCGGUGGAGCAUGUGGUUUAAUUCGAUGCAACGCGAAGAACCUUACCUGGUCUUGACAUCCUGCGAACUUUCUAGAAAUAGAUUGGUGCCUUCGGGAACGCAGUGACAGGUGCUGCAUGGCUGUCGUCAGCUCGUGUCGUGAGAUGUUGGGUUAAGUCCCGUAACGAGCGCAACCCCUAUCCUUAUUUGCCAGCACGUCAUGGUGGGAACUAUAAGGAGACUGCCGGUGAUAAACCGGAGGAAGGCGGGGACGACGUCAAGUCAUCAUGGCCCUUACGACCAGGGCUACACACGUGCUACAAUGGGAAGGACAAAGAGCCGCGAAGCCGCGAGGUGUAGCUAAUCUCAGAAAUCUUUUCGUAGUCCGGAUUGGAGUCUGCAACUCGACUCCAUGAAGUCGGAAUCGCUAGUAAUCGUAGAUCAGAAUGCUACGGUGAAUACGUUCCCGGGUCUUGUACACACCGCCCGUCAUACCAUGGGAGUGGGUUGCACCAGAAGUGGCUAGUCUAACUUAGUGAGGACGGUCACCACGGUGUGAUUCAUGACUGGGGUAAAGUCGUAACAAGGUAACC
rnacentral:rRNA from 1 species